UACUCACCAUUCUCGACGUUUUUUUCUCCCCGCUUCUCUUCAUUUUCGUUUCUUUUCUUCUCCUUUCUCAAAUUUUCUUUCUUGUUGCAGCAACAACCUGCCACCGUUCCUUCUCAUCACCAACAUUUUCUUCUUAUUUACUACUAUCCCAUUCUCUCAUUCACGUCCCUACAGCACCCUCACCACUUUCUUUUCAUCUCCUUCCCAUCACCAUUAAAACACCACCACCAACAUAUCUUCUUCUUCUUCUUGAUUUAUUUCUGCUGCACACACUCACCAUCACUUUCUCCUCUUCAUGGAAGCCGUGAGACCACCACCACCACCAAGCUGCUACUCCUUCUUCCUCUACUCCACGCAAGCACCACAACCACCGGGAGCAAGCCACCACCUCUAUUCUCUUCAACCUUUUCUCAUCUCAAUUUUGAGCUUUUGAGUUAGAGGUUUGGAUCGAGUUGAGCUAAGGAAGGAAGAUUCAGAACAAGCUGUGAAGUUUCAGGAUAGAGGAGAAUAACCCAAGGCCCUAAUAGGUGUUGCUUCGAGUAGCUGUUGAUUGCUGCAAGGAGGUGAUUGGACUGAUUGACGAGAAGAUUUGCUUGGAGUGAGUGAACCAACCAAAGACUUGUAAAAUAAUAGUUAGAUGUAAGGCUGGAGCCUUGGGUAGAGAAGCUUACCGUCAUUGGUUGAAGCUUGUAAGGAAGAUUGUAAUACUUACUUUGGUCUUGGGUAGGUUCCGAUGCAUUACUCUUCUGCGAAUCUCCAGUGAGGGGAUUGUAGGAAGUAUAUUGGACUUAGGGUGUUAUCACAUUUUGAACUUUGUUGUCGGUUAAGAUAUUACUUCACUGUAUAUUUUAUACGACUUGAACAUCCGUCGUCACUCGCGGGUGCUUGCCUUGUCAAGGCCGGAUGUAAGGGUUUGGGUAAGAGUAUACAUAUCAGGUUUUGGAAAUAUUUUGGAAAGAAAGCAAACGAAAAAAAAUAUACCCACUUUUAUUAAAUCCUUGUUGGAAAAUAAUUUCAUUUUAUUUAAUAGGUUACUAAUUGUGACCCCCAAAAGUUGGGGUGUUACAUUGUGGUAUCAGAGCUUUGGUCGAGAAUACCAGAGCUUGUUGGGGAAUAGGUCUUCUGUGCUAGGUUGUGUGGGCUCUGAAAAGGGUCAAAACUUGAUUGUCUGCAAAGCGAUAUUCGCUUUAAUUGCUUGGGUUACUACUUAAUCGUAUUGGAUAGUUAUGUCUAACACUAACUUAUGAUUGAUAAAAACUGGUUUCUUGAAAUGGGAGGGCAUGACGAAUGUGCAUCGAUUAACGGAGGAAGUGGCCAGUAUGGCACGAGCAAUGAAAGAUCGAGACCGUGCUGGAGUAUGCUUCCAAGCUGGGGUUACUAGCAAAAACACUUUCAGUUCUUCAACAAUUACGUGGAUGAGCGCUACUUUUGCGACGAGUUCCUAAACUAAAGAUGUAGACCCUCGAUGAUGUUAUUGGGAAGGACUUUCUUAUAAUCUACGUUACGUUUGAAAGGAACUAGACUUAUGCAUGAUGCAUUUUGUUGAGUUGAAGACUCGCUAUUGAGUCACAAAGAUGGGGAAGUACACUGGCCAAGUCAAUACUUUCCCUGCGUUGAAUUUUUACUUAGUGGUUAUAUGUUGUGUUCACCCUCAGGGAUGGAAGAUGGUGGAACCGAACCAUUGGUCAGACCAAGAAGUGGACUGGACCGACGAUCUUAUACGGCGAUUUUGCCAUUGAUCGAACAAAUCUGGCGCUGGAUGGAGUCGUCAGUUAAACAAGAAUGGUGGAUGGGGCCAUUGUUCAGAACGAGAUGGUGGAUGACCAUCAGGAAAAGCAGGAUUUGGUUGGCUGGAACCAACGAUCUUAUACGGUGUUAGUACCACAGAUCGGACAAUUUCGAUGGUGGCAGGUAUCAUCGAGCGGGCGAGGUGGUGGAUUGGGCCACCGUGCGAGUCAAUAGGUGGAAUGAAUCCUUGAACUCGAAGUCCAUUGUUUUCCUGUGUCUGAGUUUGUGAUGUUGCAUCUGGAUCACCUGGGCGGGACGCCGAUCAGUGUGUUUCAGUAUGGGCAUGACACUUGUUUAAUUUGUAUUUUGUUGGCCUUUGGGGAGGAUGGACCCUAACUGUGCCUAUUGUCGGUUUGGUGGAUGGACCUAUACCGCGUGUAUAAAUCGAUUGAGAGGAUAGACCUCAAUCGUAUCUUGCUGGUUGUUGGAUGGUAACGACCGGUCUUUGAAACACUUCAGCAAGUGCAGAUGUUGAAGCUGUCAUGGUGGAAAUGAUUCAUUGGCCGUAUCGGUAAAUUUUUCAAACUCUCAUUUUCUUGAUAAAAAGUCUGAUCAGCUUUAUAUUGGGGAAUGGUUUUUGGGAUCAUGGCUGGUAUUGGACUUUGGAAACAAAUGCUUGGGAAACAAGAUUCUUGAGAAGGUAUGAUGGAGUCGGACAACAUCGAGUUGAAGGACGACUUGUCAUGCGUGACGAAGGGUUUAGCCCGGAGGAAGCCAUUUGGAACAAGGACAUAGGCGAUGCUACAUGGGAACUUAAGGAAGAGAUCAAGGGAUAAUAUCUGGAAUCUUUACUGAAGCGUAAGUUUCGAGGUCGAAACUUUCUUUUUGGAGGGUAGUAAUGUGAGACCCAAGAUUUUGAGCUUAGAAUAAAUUAGUGAAAUUCCUUAUUAACGAAUAAGUUCGAUGUAUCGUGAAGGGAAACCUGAACGAGAGUUUAUUGGAUGAAAUAGAUUUAUGAAGGAGAAGGUUCAGGAAAAGUUCAAGGAUUGUAUCAAAACCGAUAAGAGUUAUAGCACGACUAAUAUUCGCCUAAACCUAGGUCAAAGACACUAGUAAAUAGCUAAUUUACACUUUAGGACGCGACAGAAACUAAUUCCAAAAAUCUUCAGAGAAAUGUUAGAACUUCUCUUAUUCAUCUAUAAACAAGCGUUUCGAUACGAAACCCUGGAAUGUACGAACGUCAAAUUCCAAUUCUCGGAAGUUUGCCGAAACGGAAUCCCUGAUAGUUCAGAAACCCUAAAAUCGACGGACGAUGAAGACUUUUUCUAUUCGGAGCAGCAAACGAAGAUUCCACACGCGAACACCCAUUUCUCUUGAUGUUUCCAAUCUUUUUUCAGAAGGAAGUUUCUUCAUUCGACGUCAAACGCAAAAAGUAGUUUUGCGGCAUAUUUCAACCCAUACUACGUUCAAGCUAUUUUCUCACUUAAAUGAACCAGGAACAAGUAUCGACAUUUUAUAGAGAGAUACUUAACUCUGAUGCAUAAUAUGACAACUUCAUAUUUGUUCUGAUCGUCUCACAAAUAUUCUUUAGCUCAGUUUUUACUCAUUUCUUUGUCAAUGGAUCAUUUUAAUUUGCUCAAAGUGAUCCAAACUUAUAUUUCAUUAUUUCAUAGAGUCUCUCAUAAUUUUUAGGAUAAUAAUAUAUCAACUCUAUAUUUUUCUCUUAACUCUACGAGUUAAAUCCUACAGUGUCUAAACCAAUUCGUACUGGUAAUUAUCAUCUUAUAAUAUAUAUAUAUAUAUAUAUAUAUAUAUAUAUAUAUACUCCUCUACUCACCAUUCUCGACGUUUUUUUCUCCCCGCUUCUCUUCAUUUUCGUUUCUUUUCUUCUCCUUUCUCAAAUUUUCUUUCUUGUUGCAGCAACAACCUGCCACCGUUCCUUCUCAUCACCAACAUUUUCUUCUUAUUUACUACUAUCCCAUUCUCUCAUUCACGUCCCUACAGCACCCUCACCACUUUCUUUUCAUCUCCUUCCCAUCACCAUUAAAACACCACCACCAACAUAUCUUCUUCUUCUUCUUGAUUUAUUUCUGCUGCACACACUCACCAUCACUUUCUCCUCUUCAUGGAAGCCGUGAGACCACCACCACCACCAAGCUGCUACUCCUUCUUCCUCUACUCCACGCAAGCACCACAACCACCGGGAGCAAGCCACCACCUCUAUUCUCUUCAACCUUUUCUCAUCUCAAUUUUGAGCUUUUGAGUUAGAGGUUUGGAUCGAGUUGAGCUAAGGAAGGAAGAUUCAGAACAAGCUGUGAAGUUUCAGGAUAGAGGAGAAUAACCCAAGGCCCUAAUAGGUGUUGCUUCGAGUAGCUGUUGAUUGCUGCAAGGAGGUGAUUGGACUGAUUGACGAGAAGAUUUGCUUGGAGUGAGUGAACCAACCAAAGACUUGUAAAAUAAUAGUUAGAUGUAAGGCUGGAGCCUUGGGUAGAGAAGCUUACCGUCAUUGGUUGAAGCUUGUAAGGAAGAUUGUAAUACUUACUUUGGUCUUGGGUAGGUUCCGAUGCAUUACUCUUCUGCGAAUCUCCAGUGAGGGGAUUGUAGGAAGUAUAUUGGACUUAGGGUGUUAUCACAUUUUGAACUUUGUUGUCGGUUAAGAUAUUACUUCACUGUAUAUUUUAUACGACUUGAACAUCCGUCGUCACUCGCGGGUGCUUGCCUUGUCAAGGCCGGAUGUAAGGGUUUGGGUAAGAGUAUACAUAUCAGGUUUUGGAAAUAUUUUGGAAAGAAAGCAAACGAAAAAAAAUAUACCCACUUUUAUUAAA